rnacentral:lncRNA from 10 species
CGGUUCUCUAAUUUGACUCAGCUUCAGAUUGGAAUGUUUCUCUCCUCACUGGGAAAAGCUCCUUUGGUCUCAGUGAACUCAGAGGUGGAGAAAGUCAUAAGAAUCAGGGAGCCUGCCCCAAAUUGCCUCCUAUGAUAACUUUCCACAAAGACUGGAGGGGAGGCUUCAAACAUCUUCCUGCAGUGUCCAGCAAGACAGCGAGGCAGACUCCCUUUCUCCUGCCAAAGCCACGUGGAGCCAGACAGAACCACAAGCAUACCUGUGGUGCUUGGAGGCCCAAGUAGAAACUUGAAUGCUCACGGCUGCAUUGGCAGCUUCUACUUGCCUGCCUGGAUCACCGUUCCUCAUGAGAACUUGGAAAAGCAGGACUAUCAUUCUUGCUUGACAGACGAAGAAACCAAGCCUCAGGACUGCGUGCAAUUCUACUUGGAGAUCUUCAUAACACCUUAAGGGAAAAAUCCUUUUUGAAAGAAAAACAAGUCUGGGUGGUGCUUGAAAAUUCAGAAGGCAGCUAGAAACUCUGCCAAUUACAACUGGUGAUUGCUGAGUUCUGGAGACAGACUGGGCUUCUGCUUUCUUUUGGUGGAGGUGUCUGCUUGCAGAAAAUUUAUGUUCUGGGAUUUACAACUUCAGGGAGACAAAGGAAACUCCAGCUCAUCUCCCACAUCAUUGAUUGAGAGGACCAUUUUCUGACUGUCUGCACACGUUUCCUAUACUACCCUUUAAUGCAACAAUGGGAUGAAGAGAUGAAGACUUCUAGCAGGCUACCUCAGAAAGGUUGCUGACCAAAGGCUGUAUGGACCAAAAAGUCAUAACACCACCCUGGAUGAAAGGACAUUUACCUAAGGAAUUACCCGCUCUCAAUUCUUCCCAGGGAUGGGCAUUUGAAUUAUUUCCAGUUUUUGGCUAUUAUGAAAAAAACUGCUAUGAACAUUCAUACACAAGUGUGUGUGUGGACCCAUGUUUUCACUGAUCAAGGCCUAAAUACCUACGGUAAGUAUACAUUUAACCUUAUAAGAAAAUGCAAAACUAUUUUUCCAAAGUAGUAUCAUUUUACAUUUCUUCUAACAACAUAUGAGAAUGGCAGUUGCUCUACUAAUAUGGUUUGGCUUUGUGUCCCCACC